rnacentral:rRNA from 1 species
UACGGAGGGGGCUAGCGUUGUUCGGAAUUACUGGGCGUAAAGCGCGCGUAGGUGGUUCAGUAAGUUGGAAGUGAAAUCCCCGGGCUCAACCUGGGAACUGCUUUCAAAACUGCUGAGCUAGAGUAUGGCAGAGGGUGGUGGAAUUUCCUGUGUAGCGGUGAAAUGCGUAGAUAUAGGAAGGAACACCAGUGGCGAAGGCGACCACCUGGGCUAAUACUGACACUGAGGUGCGAAAGCGUGGGGAGCAAACAGG